GCGGGUGUGGUGGAAUUGGUAGACGCGACGGACUCAAAAUCCGUUUCUGGUAACAGAGUGUCGGUUCGACUCCGACCACCCGCA
rnacentral:tRNA from 1 species